rnacentral:rRNA from 1 species
AGUGAACGCUGGUGGUAGGCCUAACACAUGCAAGUCGAACGGCAGCACAGUAAGAGCUUGCUCUUACGGGUGGCGAGUGGCGGACGGGUGAGGAAUACAUCGGAAUCUACUUUUUCGUGGGGGAUAACGUAGGGAAACUUACGCUAAUACCGCAUACGACCUACGGGUGAAAGCAGGGGAUCUUCGGACCUCGCGCGAUUGAAUGAGCCGAUGUCGGAUUAGCUAGUUGGCGGGGUAAAGGCCCACCAAGGCGACGAUCCGUAGCUGGUCUGAGAGGAUGAUCAGCCACACUGGAACUGAGACACGGUCCAGACUCCUACGGGAGGCAGCAGUGGGGAAUAUUGGACAAUGGGCGCAAGCCUGAUCCAGCCAUACCGCGUGGGUGAAGAAGGCCUUCGGGUUGUAAAGCCCUUUUGUUGGGAAAGAAAAGCAGCAGGUUAAUACCCCGCUGUUCUGACGGUACCCAAAGAAUAAGCACCGGCUAACUUCGUG